rnacentral:rRNA from 1 species
GAUGAACGCUGGCGGUCUGCUUAAUACAUGCAAGUCGAACGGACCCUUCGGGGUUAGUGGCGGACGGGUGAGUAACGCGUGAGAAUCUGCCUUCAGGUCUGGGACAACAGAAGGAAACUUCUGCGUAAUCCCGGGAUGAGCCUUUUGGUAAAAGAUAAAUUGCCUGGAGAUGAGCUCGCGUCUGAUUAGCUAGUUGGUGUGGUAAAAAGCCAUACCAAGGCAACGAUCA